ACUCCUACGGGAGGCAGCAGUGGGGAAUAUUGCACAAUGGGGGAAACCCUGAUGCAGCCAUGCCGCGUGUGUGAAGAAGGCCUUGGGUUGUAAAGCACUUUCAGUAGGGAGGAAGGUAGUGUAGUUAACACCUGCAUUAUUUGUACGUUACCUACAGAAGAAGCACCGGCUAACUCCGUGCCAGCAGCCGCGGUAAGUACGGAGGGUGCGAGCGUUAAUCGGAAUUACUGGGCGUAAAGCGCAUGCAGGCGGCCUGUUAAGUCAGAUGUGAAAGCCCGGGGCUUAACCUCGGAAUUGCAUUUGAAACUGGCAGGCUAGAGUCUUGUAGAGGGGGUUAGAAUUUCGAGGUGUAGCGGUGAAAUGCGUAGAGAUCUGAAGGAAUACCAGUGGCGAA
rnacentral:rRNA from 1 species